GGAGGUGUAGCUAAUUGGUAGAGCACAUGCUUAGCAUGCACAAGGUCCUGGGUUCAAACUCCAGCACCCUUC
rnacentral:tRNA from 2 species